UUGCUAAUUGUGGGAAAGUUUUAAUUUUAGUGUGUAAGCAAUUGUAAAAUACUGUAAUAACAGGGA